UCUAGCUGUUUCUGAAAUGUUUGCAAUCUCUAAUGGUGGAGAAGAAAGAGUAGAGACACUCCAGGAGAUCAACGCAGGAAAGUAAUCACCAACUGUGAGUGAUCUGUUGCCGAGGGGACACUACACCGGAGUUACAUAAGCAGAGGUGGAAGUGUUAGGCUAAAUCGCCUUGGUUUGAUCUUUGCAAAUCGGUCGACGACCUCCCCAUGGAGGGUGACAUGCCUGUAUGCCAAUUAAUAUUUUUUCCCCAACUCCAGAAAACCUGUUUUGAAGCUCCUCCAGCAUUCUGUCGAGAACUGGA